rnacentral:rRNA from 2 species
CGGAGCUUGCUCCGGUGAAAGUGACGCACGGGUGAGUAACGCGUGGAUAAUCUGCCCUGGUAUCUGGGAUAACAUCUCGAAAGGGGUGCUAAUACCGGAUAAGCCUACGGACUCUUCGGAGUCUGCAGGAAAAGGUGGCCUCUAUUUAUAAGCUACCGUAUCAGGAUGAGUCCGCGUACCAUUAGCUAGUUGGUGGGGUAAUGGCCCACCAAGGCUACGAUGGUUAGCUGGUCUGAGAGGAUGAUCAGCCACACUGGAACUGAGACACGGUCCAGACUCCUACGGGAGGCAGCAGUGGGGAAUUUUGCGCAAUGGGGGAAACCCUGACGCAGCAACGCCGCGUGAGUGAUGAAGGCUUUCGGGUCGUAAAGCUCUGUCAGAGGGGAAGAAAUGAGACUGGCUAAUAUCCAGUUUUCUUGACGGUACCCUCAAAGGAAGCACCGGCUAACUCCGUGCCAGCAGCCGCGGUAAUAC